rnacentral:rRNA from 1 species
GGUGUCGGCGGCAUAGAAAGUCAGAAGUGAAAGUCCUGGGCUCAACCCAGGAAGUGCUUUUGAAACUUCUAAGCUUGAGUAUGGGAGAGGGAAGUAGAAUUCCUGGUGUAGUGGUGAAAUACGUAGAUAUCAGGAGGAAUACCGGAGGCGAAGGCGGCUUCCUGGCCCAAUACUGACGCUCAGACCCGAAAGCGUGGGUAGCAAACA